AGAGAAAGGGAGACAGUUCGUUCAAAAUCAAAGUGACAGCGGUAAAAAGAGAGACGGAUAGAGACAGCAAGUGGAGGUGGAAAGUGAGAGAAGGAGAGACAGGUAGAGAAAAAUAUAUUGUUAGAGACAGGUGAGGAGAAAGAUGUUUAAACAGACGGGAGAGAGAGAGAGAGAGAGAGAGAAAGACGGGUGGUAUAACAGACAGAGACGAUAAGAGACAGACAGGUGAGAAGAAAGAGAAAAUGGGAGGGGUACAGGUAGUGAGAGAGACAGGUGGGGCAAGACAGGCAGACAGACAAAAAGGUCUUAUACCUGCCUCAGCAAGUUAGCAGCUAUUAGCAAGGCAGAAACUAACAAAUCUACAGCU